rnacentral:rRNA from 1 species
GAUGAACGCUGGCGGCGUGCCUAAUACAUGCAAGUCGAGCGAACGGACGAGAAGCUUGCUUCUCUGAUGUUAGCGGCGGACGGGUGAGUAACACGUGGAUAACCUACCUAUAAGACUGGGAUAACUUCGGGAAACCGGAGCUAAUACCGGAUAAUAUUUUGAACCGCAUGGUUCAAAAGUGAAAGACGGUCUUGCUGUCACUUAUAGAUGGAUCCGCGCUGCAUUAGCUAGUUGGUAAGGUAACGGCUUACCAAGGCAACGAUGCAUAGCCGACCUGAGAGGGUGAUCGGCCACACUGGAACUGAGACACGGUCCCGACUCCUACGGGAGGCAGCAGUAGGGAAUCUUCCGCAAUGGGCGAAAGCCUGACGGAGCAACGCCGCGUGAGUGAUGAAGGUCUUCGGAUCGUAAAACUCUGUUAUUAGGGAAGAACAUAUGUGUAAGUAACUGUGCACAGCUUGACGGUACCUAAUCAGAAAGCCACGGCUAACUACGUG